GUAGGGAAUAUUGCGUAAUGGAGGCAACUCUGACGCAGCCAUGCCGCGUGCAGGAAGAAGGCGCUACGCGUUGUAAACUGCUUUUAACCGGGAAGAAACCCCAGGACGUGUCCUGGGUUGACGGUACCGGAGGAAUAAGCACCGGCUAACUUCGUGCCAGCAGCCGCGGUAAUACGAAGGGUGCAAGCGUUAUCCGGAUUCAUUGGGUUUAAAGGGUGCGUAGGCGGAGCGUUAAGUCAGUGGUGAAAUCCUGCAGCUUAACUGUAGACUUGCCAUUGAUACUGGCGCUCUUGAGUGCGCUUGAAGUGGGCGGAAUGUGCCGUGUAGCGGUGAAAUGCUUAGAUAUGGCACAGAACACCAAUUGCGAAGGCAGCUCACUAAGGCGAUACUGACGCUGAGGCACGAAAGCGUGGGGAUCGAACAGGAUUAGAAACCCCGGUAGUCC
rnacentral:rRNA from 1 species